rnacentral:rRNA from 1 species
GCGAGCGGCGGAUGGGUGAGUAACACGUGGGGAACCUGCCCCUAAGUCUGGGAUACCAUUUGGAAACAGGUGCUAAUACCGGAUAAUAAAGCAGAUCGCAUGAUCAGCUUUUGAAAGGCGGCGUAAGCUGUCGCUAAGGGAUGGCCCCGCGGUGCAUUAGCUAGUUGGUAAGGUAACGGCUUACCAAGGCGACGAUGCAUAGCCGAGUUGAGAGACUGAUCGGCCACAUUGGGACUGAGACACGGCCCAAACUCCUACGGGAGGCAGCAGUAGGGAAUCUUCCACAAUGGACGCAAGUCUGAUGGAGCAACGCCGCGUGAGUGAAGAAGGUUUUCGGAUCGUAAAGCUCUGUUGUUGGUGAAGAAGGAUAGAGGUAGUAACUGGCCUUUAUUUGACGGUAAUCAACCAGAAAGUCACGGCUAACUACGUGCCAGCAGCCGCGGUAAUACGUAGGUGGCAAGCGUUGUCCGGAUUUAUUGGGCGUAAAGCGAGCGCAGGCGGAAAAAUAAGUCUAAUGUGAAAGCCCUCGGCUUAACCGAGGAACUGCAUCGGAAACUGUUUUUCUUGAGUGCAGAAGAGGAGAGUGGAACUCCAUGUGUAGCGGUGGAAUGCGUAGAUAUAUGGAAGAACACCAUUGGCGAAAGGCGGCUCUCUGGUCUGCAACUGACGCUGAGGCUUCGAAAGCAUGGGGUAGCGAACAGGAUUUAGAUACCCUGGUAGUCC